GGGACUAUAGCUCAGUAGUAGAGCACUCGCCUUACAUGUGUGAGGUACUGGGUUCGAUCCUCAGCACCA
rfam:Ictidomys tridecemlineatus contig034123, whole genome shotgun sequence.